rnacentral:rRNA from 1 species
UACGUAGGGGGCUAGCGUUGUCCGGAAUCAUUGGGCGUAAAGCGCGCGUAGGCGGUCAGGUAAGUCCGGUGUGAAAGUCAAAGGCUCAACCUUUGAAUGCCGCUGGAUACUGCCUGACUUGAGUCCGGAAGGGGCGAGUGGAAUUCCUGGUGUAGCGGUGAAAUGCGUAGAUAUCAGGAGGAACACCGGUGGUGUAGACGGCUUACUGGACCAUAACUGACGCUGAGACACGAAAGCGUGGGUAGCAAACAGG